CAGGCGGUUUGAUAANUCUGAAGUUAAAGGCUGUGGNUCAACCAUAGUUCGCUUUGGAAACUGUCAAACUUGAGUGCAGAAGGGGAGAGUGGAAUUCCAUGUGUAGCGGUGAAAUGCGUAGAUAUAUGGAGGAACACCGGUGGCGAAAGCGGCUCUCUGGUCUGUAACUGACGCUGAGGCUCGAAAGCGUGGGGAGCGAACAGGAUUAGAUACCCUGGUAGUCCACGCCGUAAACGAUGAGUGCUAGGUGUUGGAUCCUUUCCGGGAUUCAGUGCCGCAGCUAACGCAUUAAGCACUCCGCCUGGGGAGUACGACCGCAAGGUUGAAACUCAAAGGAAUUGACGGGGGCCCGCACAGGCGGUGGAGCAUGUGGUUUAAUUCGAAGCAACGCGAAGAACCUUACCAGGUCUUGACAUCCCGAUGCUAUUUCUAGAGAUAGGAAGUUACUUCGGUACAUCGGUGACAGGUGGUGCAUGGUUGUCGUCAGCUCGUGUCGUGAGAUGUUGGGUUAAGUCCCGCAACGAGCGCAACCCCUAUUGUUAGUUGCCAUCAUUCAGUUGGGCACUCUAGCAAGACUGCCGGUAAUAAACCGGAGGAAGGUGGGGAUGACGUCAAAUCAUCAUGCCCCUUAUGACCUGGCUACACACGUGCUACAAUGGUUGGUACAACGAGUUGCGAGUCGGUGACGGCGAGCUAAUCUCUUAAAGCCAAUCUCAGUUCGGAUUGUAGGCUGCAACUCGCCUACAUGAAGUCGGAAUCGCUAGUAAUCGCGGAUCAGCACGCCGCGGUGAAUACGUUCCCGGGCCUUGUACACACCGCCCGUCACACCACGAGAGUUUGUAACACCCGAAGUCGGUGAGGUAACCUUAUGG
rnacentral:rRNA from 1 species